UGCGUAGGCGGAUUAUUAAGUCAGGGGUGAAAGUUUGCGGCUCAACCGUAAAAUUGCCUUUGAUACUGGUAAUCUUGAGUACAUUUGAGGUAGGCGGAAUGUGAUGUGUAGCGGUGAAAUGCUUAGAUAUGUCACAGAACACCGAUUGCGAAGGCAGCUUACUAAACUGUAACUGACGCUGAGGCACGAAAGCGUGGGUAUCGAACA
rnacentral:rRNA from 1 species